UGGUAGCAUUUGCUCUUUAUUUGACAAAGUUAUGAAGGGGGAACCAUUCUGGGAAUCAACAAUCAUCACCACCACUGGACUUUAGUGGUGAUCUACCCACAAGAGAAAAAGUCUUUGUUCUUGAAUCCACUGGGGGAAUCAAAACAAGACAUCCAGAAAUGUUUGCAAAUCACAAGGGCAUUUAUGAGGAAGAAGGGGUGCAAUCUCUCACGUUGG